rnacentral:rRNA from 1 species
AUUGAACGCUGGCGGCAGGCCUAACACAUGCAAGUCGAGCGAGCGGCGGACGGGUGAGUACUGUCUGGGAAACUGCCUGAUGGAGGGGGAUAACUACUGGAAACGGUAGCUAAUACAGCAUACCAUCAGAUGUGCCCAGAUGGGAUUAGCUGGUAGGUGGGGUAAAGGCUCACCUAGGCGACGAUCCCUAGCUGGUCUGAGAGGAUGACCAGCAACACUGGAACUGAGCCACGGUCCAGACGCCUACGGGAGGCAGCAGUGAGGAAUAUUGCACAAUGGGCGCAAGCCUGAUACAGCCAUGCCGCGUGUGUGAAGAAGGCCUUCGGGUUGUAAAGCACUUUCAGCGGGGAGGCGUUACCCGCAGAAGAAGCACCGGCUAACUCCGUGCCAGCAGCCGCGGUAAUUC